UAGAAUAAUUGAGUGCCCAGAAUGUUCUGUCCUAUAUUGGCUUGGGAAAGGGAGAAAAAGAUGUAACCAAGGUCGUCUUCACCCCUGAGGGCUCAAAGCCCAGGAGAGGAGACAGGCUUGUAAAGGGAGAGCCAUCCAAAAAGGUCAGUGGAGAAAAUCAGGGCAGGCCUCCCAGAGGAAGGGGCUCUGGGUUGGAGCUGAAGGCACAGACAGCAGUUUGCUAAGUGGUGAGGAAGGAAAAGUCUUGCAGCACAGAGAAUGGCAUUCGAAGGCCCGGAGUGGGACGAGUGCAGCCAUUCCGGGGGCAGGAGCGCUGGGCGCGGUGGCCCGGCCUGGGAGACCCACGUGGCUUCUGCAGUGGAGCAGCGAGUCGGUGCCGGUUUGCAGAGCCCUUUAGACACGCAGGGCUCAGGAGCUAAGGUUUUGUCUUAGGACUGAAGGGAGGCUUCACAGCAGUGCAGUCAGGAGAGGAGGCUGACAGGGCCGAGGGGCUGUGCAGGUGGGAGCCUCCCCUCCUUCCGCUGGACUCCACAGGACGCCCUUCCCCUCAGCAUUCACGGUGGCCUCUGCGUGGCCCCCGCUGGGAGACAGCAUGAGGGGUCGCGGUGGCGCCAUCAAACUCCAGGUCCUUCCCUUGCAUUUCUCAGGUUUCUGCAAGGGGCACGUGGGGGCACGUCCUAAAAACCCACUGCGCCUCCCGUCCCUGCCCACCCAGGCUGCAGCUGCUCCUGUGUCUGUCUCUGACUCCCUGGAAGUUCUCCUCCAACCCCACCCCACACACCACCUGCUGUCUCCCUCCCACCUCCUUUCUUCCUGGUUCUGGGUCCCCAAAUGCCCCGGAGCUGCGUGGGGUAGGAGCCUCGCUGGGAGGAGGCGGGGGCUGGGUGGUGCGGAUCGGGGAAGCUGAGCUCUCAGGACUGGGGGCCCCUCCUGCACCCGUCUCCACAGCAGCACCUUCCCGAGCCCGAGGUGGCCAAGCCUCGGGUGUGACUGUGAACCAGCGCCUGCCGCAGGCUCCGCCCUCAACCCCGUCCUCCAUCGCGUGCUGUGGGGCCUGGGGAGAUGACUGAAUGGCCAGGUGCCUCAGUUUCCCCACCUGUGAACCAGUGCCUGCCGCAGGCCCCGCCCUGAACCUCGCCCUCCAUCGCGUGCUGUGGGGCCUGGGGAGAUGACUGAAUGGCCAGGUGCCUCAGUUUCCCCACCUGUAAACCAGUGCCUGCUGCACGUGGUUGUGAUGAAGACUGAGUGUCGAUAUGGAAAGCACUUGGACAAAGCCGGUCACAGGAAAACUGCACUAUAAAUGCGGUGCUGCGGGAGGGGCCACACUUGGAGGAGCUGGAGUGCUGGGGAUGCCCACCCUGAGAAGGGACCGCAGUACCAGCCUGCUGUCACCCAACCAACUGGAACCUCACAGAAAAAGCGCAUGUCCUGGCCAAGGGGCGCCUCAGACCCCUUCUGCUGAGCCAGCACCCCCCACCCUUGCCCACAGGCAGGAAAAAAUGGGACUCCUGUGUUCCCGCUGCAGCAGAGCUGACUGGGGUCUUGGUGCUGGCCCAGUCAAUGUCUGUCCAAUGAUGGUUGCUGUGUGUGGGGUGCACCCGACAGGCUGGGCCGUGGGGUUUCCAGAACAAGGGAUGACACAGGACCGAAAGGAGGAAACUGGGCUCAAGAGCUCCACCUCUUUGACGUCUUCCCCAGCUCAGGGCAGCAGUUCCCUGGGGUUGCUUCUUUGCCCAGAGCCCAGGCUCAUACCCCGCUAUCAGUAUCUCACCCGGGAGGUUUCUAGAACCUUGGAAUAAAAUGCUCCUCAUCUUACUCUUCAGCACAUUGUCGCGCUCGCCGUUGAUCACUGAGUGAGUGAGUGGAUGGGCGAUGAGCCAAAGGAGGCCUGGAAGCCGGAGUGUGCAUCAGGGCUGUGGGCCAGGCCGGAUCCCCUGAUGAGGAGGGUUUGGAGUAUGUUUGCCUCAGGGCGGAGGCAGGAGGCACCCAGGCCCUGCUCAGGUCAGGUCAGAGCCCUGUGCCAACAGCCAGAGAGGCCUGGCCUCCUGGAGGUAAGACCUGCAUCCCUGGACGGCCCCGGCUGCCUUCGUUGUCUCCUGGCCACAGGGAUGACCGGCACUCAGGGAUCAGGAAGGGGCCGAAGAAGCACCUUCCUGCCAGGCCCUGCCACGUGUCCUCACCAGCCCUUGCCUCCCGCCCCACUCAGGGAGUUGGACCCUCUGCAUCAGGCCUUCCAGGGUGAAAUGGCUUGACGUGUGUCCCCUCCAAAUCUCAUGUUGAGAUGUGAUUCCCAGGGUUGAAGCUGGGGCCUGCUGGGAGGUAUUGGGUCAUG